GAAAUGCGAUAAGUAAUGUGAAUUGCAGAAUUCAGUGAAUCAUCGAAUCUUUGAACGCACAUUGCGCCCGCCAGCACUCUGGCGGGCAUGCCUGUUCGAGUAUCAUGAAAUCUUCAAAGUAAAUCUUUUGUUAACUCAAUUGGUUUCUACUUUGGUAUUGGAGGUCUUUGCAGCUUCACACCUGCUCCUCUUUGUUCAUUAGCUGGAUCUCAGUGUUAUGCUUGGUUCCACUCGGCGUGAUAAGUUAUCUAUCGCUGAGGACACUGUAAAAGGUGGCCAAGGUAAAUGCAGAUGAACCGCUUCUAAUAGUCCAUUGACUUGGACAAUACUUUUAUGAUCUGAUCUCAAAUCAGGUAGGACUACCCGCUGAACUUAAGC
rnacentral:misc_RNA from 1 species